CCCGAGGAGUGCAGAAGCGGGAGGGCAGGGCGGGGCGAGGCAAGCGGGAGCCACGGCGAGGGGCCUGGGCGGCAGAGGGAGCACGCAGGAGGUGCCGAGGGCGCGGACUGGUUAACCGAACUGUGAGAUGAGAGGAAGUCCCCAGGAAGGGUGAGCCCUAUGAUAGGGGUAAAAAGAUGUCAAGAGGACCUCCCUGCCCGGCGUGGGGCAACGAGGGACAAGUGCCCUGCGACAGCGCAGAGGCAGGAAACAGUGACGUGCUGUCUAUAUCCAUGGACAGGAAUUAGCAGGUGCCCCGGCGACAAGCAGUCAAUGUGCCUGUUCAGUUGGAGGGUUUGCAGGUGUGAUUUUCCAGUGAUUUAAAUAUGUUUCAGGGCUAGAACUAACAAGGGCUCCUGGCCAUUCUAGCCAAAAGACUUCCUCCUCUGUCACUGCCUCCCCGUUAGCUCCUGUCCACCUAAGUUCACCGUCUUGCUUGACUUGCUCACUGUUUUAUUUAUUUAUUUUUAAGAUUUGAUUUAUUUAUUCUUGAGAGACACAGAGAGAGAGGGGGACACAAGUAGAGGGAGAAGCAGGCUCCCUGCGGGGAGCCCGAUGUGGGACUCGAUCCCAGGACCCCAGGGUCACACCCUUGAGCCAAAGGCAGAUGCUCAACCGCUGAGCCCCCCAGGCACCCCAUGCUCCCUGUUUUAAAAAUUAAUACAUUAAAGCAAAAGCCCUCCCUCCUUAAAUGUUGUCCUUUGCAGCUCUAUCAAAGAAACACCAGACUUCCUGAAAGCAGUCUUUAGGGUGGUGUCUACUUCCUCUUGUGUCUUUCACACCCCACCACCCCAGAUCUGGUGUCUGCCCCCCAGCUGUCUUCAGCAGUGGUCCACGAGCCCUUGCUGAUGGGGGCAGUCAUUGCCUGGCAUCUGCUUCUCUUUCUACUCGGUUGGGACAAGUGUUCCUGCUGUGGCUCCCACCAUGCUCUCGGGCCUCUCCUUUUGUGGCUCAUCCUCCUCCACCAGCCUCAGUCCUUUCUGGACGGUCUUCUCCUGCCACCAGCACCUGCUCUGUCUUCUCAGCUGCUGCCAAGAGGACCUACAGAGGUCCGCGGACCUACAGCCUUCACCUCAUCUCCUGAUGGCCCUUGAGUGGCUGUCCCAGCUUUCCAAGCUCUGCAGGCACUGCCAAAUCCUUGACCUUUCCUCCACCCUCUGCCUCCGUGUCCCAUCUGCCGCCUCUGAUAUUACUUACCACCUCCUUGAAACCUCCUCCUUGUCUUGUGGGUGGUGGUGGUUGUGGGUUUUUUUUUUUAACCAGAUGGUAACAAGAGUUAAUAUUUAUUUAGUGCUUAACUAUGUGCCACACGCUGUGCUAAGCAUUUUAGGCACCCUCAAUCAUGAAUUCCUUACUGCAGCCCUGAGAGGUGGGUCCUGGAGUUGGCCCCAUUCUUCAGACAAGGAGACUGAGGUGUGGUGGAGUCAACCAGGCCAAGACCGCACAGCUGUGGAACGCACUCAGGGGGGCCCCACAAGCAGAGCAGCCCAACUCCAGGGCAAAUCAGUUACCACCCUCCUUCCUUCCACUGUGCUGGGACCAUUCUUUUUCAACCCUUCUAGUUCUUUCCAUAUGUCACGCUUUUCCUUCUAAGCCACAUUUCUUGAGAGCCUGUCGGCAUUACCCAAGCCCUGCUUCUUCCCUUGGCCUAGUAUUGUGGAAAUACACAGACACCUGCCAGACCACCUAGUUCAAUGGAUACCCUGUUUCCUUUUCCUCCUCCACCUUGGCCUAUGUGGCAGGUGUACCUGGAGACCAUUUCGUUCUCGGAUUUCUUCCUGGACUCCUCAGCCUUCCUAAAGGCCAGAGUCCCUAGCUGUUCUUGUCUUCUGACUCUAUGACCUCUCCUUUGGAGAGCCCACCCACUCCCAUGGCUUCAUAUACGACCCUGUGAUGGGUCAAAUUUUGUGUCCCCUUAGGAGCACAUGUUGAAGUCCUAACCUCCACAUCUGUGAAUGGGACCAUAUUUGGAAAUAGGGUCUUUGCAGAUGUAAUCAAGUUCAGAUGACAUCACUAGGGUGGCCCCUAAUCUGGAACAACUGGAAACAGCCACCAUAGAGGCAGACACGAAGGUAGAGGGCCCGGCGAUGACAGGCAGAGCCCCAAGCAUCAGGAGCUGCAAGUCGAGGAGCACCUGCGGCCAACAGCUGGAAGAGGCCAGCUCUCUCCAAGGCUUAGCAGAGAGGAUUGUCCUGCCAACAUCUGGAUUUCAGACUUCCCUCCUACACAACUAUUCCAGAGACACAAGGUCAAAAUCACAAAGAUUGCCCAGGCAUUUUCUCAGGAGCUGCUCCUACUUUCGAACCCACUACCAUUCAUAAAUCCGUCACUUCCAAGGGCUGGACAGGUACUGGCCUGAGCACUCAGACCGACAUUGUAUAUUUGUUUGAUUAUCUGGUAACCUCCACCUCCCAACUGCGGAGAAGGGACUGCACCGUUAAGCUCACCACCCCUGAGUCUCGAGUCUCUGAGUAUCUGGUACUUAAGAGACUCAGUAGGUAUUCACUGAAUGAAUGGAGAAGUAAGGGAAUUCAAAGUUUCUGCCAUGACUCCAGCAGUUCUGGGUGCUGUGAGAGAAGGUCCCAGACCCCCUGGCCCAAAGGGUUACCCUUUUGCCCAUUCUCAGGUUCCUUUGGAGUGUUUGACUCUUAUGCAAAUCCUUGAGGGUGGAAGAAGAAUAAAAUAGUCCCUGCCUGCCCUGACGGGAAUAAAUUCUUACUGUGAAAUAUUUGUACCGGUCAGGGAACCCCCACCUCGACUCUAACCAUUGCCUGUUUUCUCCCUUUCUUUCUUUCUUUCUUUCUUUCUUUCUUUCUUUCUUUCUUUCUUUCUUUCUUUCUUCUUUCCUUCUUUCCUUCUUUCCUUCUUUCUUUCUUUCU